AACGAACGCUGGCGGCAGGCUUAAUACAUGCAAGUCGAGCGGGCACUUCGGUGUCAGCGGCGCACGGGUGCGUAACGCGUGGGAACAUGCCUUUAGGUACGGAACAACCAAGGGAAACUUUGGCUAAUACCGUAUAAUAUCUCUGGAUCAAAGAUUUAUCGCCUCAAGAUUGGCCCGCGUUAGAUUAGGUAGUUGGUGGGGUAAUGGCCUACCAAGCCGACGAUCUAUAGGGGGUCUGAGAGGAUGAUCCCCCACACUGGAACUGAGACACGGUCCAGACUCCUACGGGAGGCAGCAGUAAGGAAUAUUGGACAAUGGGCGAAAGCCUGAUCCAGCCAUGCCGCGUGAGUGAUGAAGGCCUUAGGGUUGUAAAGCUCUUUUAGAUGGGAAGAUAAUGACUGUACCAGCAGAAUAAGCCCCGGCUAAAUUCGUG
rnacentral:rRNA from 1 species